GUUGUAAGGUUAAGAAAUUAAGCGUACACGGUGGAUGCCUAGGCAUUUAGAGGCGAAGAAGGACGUGUUAAUCUGCGAAAAGCGACGGUGAGCCGAUAAAAGGCGUUAUAGCCGUCGAUGUCCGAAUGGGGAAACCCAGUGUGGGUAACUGCACUAUUGCUUGAUGAAUACAUAGUCAAGUGAGGCGAACCGGGAGAACUGAAACAUCUAAGUACCCCGAGGAAAAGAAAUCAACCGAGAUUCCCCGAGUAGCGGCGAGCGAAAGGGGAGGAGCCCAAAGUGGGAAGCAUCAUGAGUUAGUGGAAGCGUCUGGAAAGUCGCACGACAGAGGGUGAAAGUCCCGUACACGAAGGCACAUGAUGUGGAAGCUUGAAGAGUAGGGCGGGACACGUGAUAUCCUGUCUGAAUAUGGGGGGACCAUCCUCCAAGGCUAAAUACUCCUAAAUGACCGAUAGUGAACCAGUACCGUGAGGGAAAGGCGAAAAGAACCCCGGGAGGGGAGUGAAAUAGACCCUGAAACCGUGUACGUACAAUCAGUGGGAGCGUAUAUCAUUGGAUAUAUGUGACUGCGUACCUUUUGUAUAAUGGGUCAGCGACUUAUAUUCUGUAGCAAGGUUAACCGAAUAGGGGAGCCGAAGGGAAACCGAGUAUUAACUGUGCGAAAAGUUGCAGGGUAUAGACCCGAAACCCGGUGAUCUAGCCAUGGGCAGGUUGAAGGUUGGUUAACACUAACUGGAGGACCGAACCGACUAAUGUUGAAAAAUUAGCGGAUGACCUGUGGCUGGGGGUGAAAGGCCAAUCAAACCGGGAGAUAGCUGGUUCUCCCCGAAAGCUAUUUAGGUAGCGCCUCAUGAGUGACUGUUGGGGGUAGAGCACUGUUUCGGCUAGGGGGCCAUCCCGGCUUACCAACCCGAUGCAAACUCCGA
rnacentral:rRNA from 1 species